UACGUAGGGUGCAAGCGUUAAUCGGAAUUACUGGGCGUAAAGCGUGCGCAGGCGGUUGUGCAAGGCCGAUGUGAAAUCCCCGGGCUUAACCUGGGAAUGGCAUUGGUGACUGCACGGCUAGAGUGCGUCAGAGGGGGGUAGAAUUCCACGUGUAGCAGUGAAAUGCGUAGAGAUGUGGAGGAAUACCGAUGGCGAAGGCAGCCCCCUGGGAUAACACUGACGCUCAUGCACGAAAGCGUGGGGAGCAAACAGG
rnacentral:rRNA from 1 species